AUGUCACAGUACUACAGUAAAGAAAGAGAGGUUGACAAUGUUAAGUUUGCACAAGUGGGAGAUUUGGUGGCUGCACCAUUUGACCAGGAUACAUCAUGGUACAGGGCCAGAGUGUCAGGUUUCCAAGGAGAUGACCCUGAGCAGCUUGACCUUUUCUACCUUGACUAUGGAGACAGCUGUUAUCUGUCCAAGAGUAAAGUCCGUGUCUUACAACCAGACUUCUUAAGAAUUCCUUUCCAGGCUAUUGAGUGUGAGAUGGCAC